rnacentral:rRNA from 1 species
AGGAGUUUGAUCCUGGCUCAGGAAUCAACGCUGGCGGCGUGCCUAACACAUGCAAGUCGGAACGAGGAAAGUGGAGCAAUCCAUGGAGUAAAGUGGCGCACGGGUGGAGUAACACGUGGACUAACCUACCCUUGGAGUGGGGGAAUAACUUCGGGGAAACCGAGGCUAAUACCGCAUAACACCUACGGGUCAAAGGAGCAAUUCGCUUGAAGGAGGGGGUCGCGGCAGGAUUAGUUAGUUGGCGGGGGUAAUGGCCCACCAAGGACGGUGGAUCUGUAUCCGGCCUGGAGGAGGGCGCACGGGACACACUGGGAACUGGAAACACGGGUCCAGGACUCCUACGGGGAGGCAGCCAGUGGGGGAAUAUUGGGACAAUGGGGGAACCCCUGGAUCCAGCGACGCCGCGUGUGUGAAGAAGGCCUGCGGGUUGUAAAGCACUU